rnacentral:rRNA from 1 species
GAGGAAUAUUGGUCAAUGGGCGCAGGCCUGAACCAGCCAAGUAGCGUGAAGGAUGACUGCCCUAUGGGUUGUAAACUUCUUUUAUAUGGGAAUAAAGUUUUCCACGUGUGGAAUUUUAUAUGUACCAUAUGAAUAAGGAUCGGCUAACUCCGUGCCAGCAGCCGCGGUAAUACGGAGGAUCCGAGCGUUAUCCGGAUUUAUUGGGUUUAAAGGGAGCGUAGGUGGACAGUUAAGUCAGUUGUGAAAGUUUGCGGCUCAACCGUAAAAUUGCAGUUGAUACUGGCUGUCUUGAGUACAGUAGAGGUGGGCGGAAUUCGUGGUGUAGCGGUGAAAUGCUUAGAUAUCACGAAGAACUCCGAUUGCGAAGGCAGCUUGCUGGACUGUAACUGACGCUGAUGCUCGAAAGUGUGGGUAUCAAACAGGAUUAGAUACCCUGGUAGUCCACACAGUAAACGAUGAAUACUCGCUGUUUGCGAUAUACAGUAAGCGGCCAAGCGAAAGCGUUAAGUAUUCCACCUGGGGAGUACGCCGGCAACGGUGAAACUCAAAGGAAUUGACGGGGGCCCGCACAAGCGGAGGAACAUGUGGUUUAAUUCGAUGAUACGCGAGGAACCUUACCCGGGCUUGAAUUGCAACUGAAUGAUGUGGAGACAUGUCAGCCGCAAGGCAGUUGUGAAGGUGCUGCAUGGUUGUCGUCAGCUCGUGCCGUGAGGUGUCGGCUUAAGUGCCAUAACGAGCGCAACCCUUAUCGAUAGUUACCAUCAGGUUAUGCUGGGGACUCUGUCGAGACUGCCGUCGUAAGAUGUGAGGAAGGUGGGGAUGACGUCAAAUCAGCACGGCCCUUACGUCCGGGGCUACACACGUGUUACAAUGGGGGGUACAGAAGGCAGCUACACGGCGACGUGAUGCUAAUCCCGAAAGCCUCUCUCAGUUCGGAUUGGAGUCUGCAACCCGACUCCAUGAAGCUGGAUUCGCUAGUAAUCGCGCAUCAGCCACGGCGCGGUGAAUACGUUCCCG